CGCAUUUGUUUGAAUAAAUGGAACUGCUUAACCUCCCAUGAGAUGUACAACUUUAAUCAGCAGAAAAGUGACUCUGGGCUUGUUAUAAACGUGAGAAUCGACAUGAAAAUCGCCGACACGAUGAGAUGUACGUCUAAAAUGGGGUUGAGACGGUGUUUAACGUGGACUAGUCUCUUCCGCCUUGCUAAUUAGUCUUCCCAAACACCUGUGUGGUGAAGCUCGGUUGGCACGCAGAGGCUGUGCAGUGCCCAGGACGAUAAAUGGUGCAGUAUCAGAAGGAAAAAUAUGAAUAGGAGUCCAAGCCAAACGGAGAGGGAAGACUGAACAGGCAUCAGAGUUUCAUAUGGAGAAAGAGCACCUGGGGCAUAAAGACAGAAGUUAUGAGGUCUCAUGUAUGGUUGAGUCCCUCUGCUCUCAUCAACCUCAUUUCCACCGGCAAUAAGCGGCCAUUUUCGGCAGACAAGCUCUGAUAAACCCACUGUUCAGCACCAAGCAGCAGAAGGAUUGAAAAAAAAACUUGGUGAGUAGCUGAAGAAAGUCAAGCAAGUUAGCAAGCAAAUAUUUUUUUCAUGAGUUUGUGGAGACCUGUCAGGUGGCCAGAGACCUGUGACUCCAAGUGUGAAUCUGACACGCGGAAUGACACUGAAACGUUUUAGGAACUAUGUAUCCAUUCAUUCACUCAACCUCUGUUUAU